rnacentral:rRNA from 1 species
GAUGAACGCUGGCGGCGUGCCUAAUACAUGCAAGUCGAGCGAACAGAUGAGAAGCUUGCUUCUCUGAUGUUAGCGGCGGACGGGUGAGUAACACGUGGGUAACCUACCUAUAAGACUGGGAUAACUCCGGGAAACCGGGGCCAAUACCGGAUAAUAUUUUGAACCGCAUGGUUCAAUAGUGAAAGACGGUUUCGGCUGUCACUUAUAGAUGGACCCGCGCCGUAUUAGCUAGUUGGUAAGGUGACGGCUUACCAAGGCGACGAUACGUAGCCGACCUGAGAGGGUGAUCGGCCACACUGGAACUGAGACACGGUCCAGACUCCUACGGGAGGCAGCAGUAGGGAAUCUUCCGCAAUGGGCGAAAGCCUGACGGGGCAACGCCGCGUGAGUGAUGAAGGUCUUCGGAUCGUAAAACUCUGUUGUUAGGGAAGAACAAAUUUGUUAGUAACUGAACAAGUCUUGACGGUACCUAACCAGAAAGCCACGGCUAACUACGUGCCAGCAGCCGCGGUAA